rnacentral:rRNA from 1 species
UACGUAGGUGGCAAGCGUUGUCCGGAUUUAUUGGGGUUAAAGGGUGCGUAGGCGGCCCUGUAAGUCAGUGCUGAAAUAUCCCGGCUUAACCGGGAGGGUGGCAUUGAUACUGCGGGGCUAGAGUACAGAUGAGGUAGGCGGAAUUGACGGUGUAGCGGUGAAAUGCUUAGAUAUCGUCAAGAACACCUAUAGCGAAGGCAGCUUACUAGGCUGUAACUGACGCUGAGGCACGAAAGUGUGGGGAUCAAACAGG